rnacentral:misc_RNA from 1 species
GAUGAAGAACGUAGCGAAAUGCGAUACUUGGUGUGAAUUGCAGAAUCCCGUGAACCAUCGAGUCUUUGAACGCAAGUUGCGCCUCAAGCCAUUAGGUUGAGGGCACGUCUGCCUGGGCGUCACAUAUCGUUGUCUGAUGCCAGUUUCCUCGUGAUGGGUGACUGUGCAGGGCGAAUGAUGGCUUCCCGUGAGCAUUGUUGCCUCAUGGUUGGUUGAAAAUUGAGUCCUUGGUAGGGAGCGCCGUGAUAGAUGGUGGUUGAGUGACGAACGAGACCCAAUCAUGUGAGACCCCUACCGAAUUUGGCCUUCAUGACCCACAUGCGUCUUUGGAACGCUCAUGACGAGACCUCAGGUCAGGCGGGGCUACCCGCUGAGUUUAAGCAUAUCAAUAAGCGGAGGA